rnacentral:rRNA from 1 species
UACGUAGGGUCCGAGCGUUGUCCGGAAUUAUUGGGCGUAAAGAGCGCGCAGGCGGUCGUUCAAGUCGCGUGUGAAAGCCCCCGGCUCAACUGGGGAGGGUCACGCGAUACUGAUCGACUCGAAGGCAGGAGAGGGUAGUGGAAUUCCCGGUGUAGUGGUGAAAUGCGUAGAUAUCGGGAGGAACACCAGUGGCGAAGGCGACUACCUGGCCCGAUACUGACGCUGAGGCGCGAAAGCUAGGGGAGCAAACGGG